rnacentral:rRNA from 1 species
UGGCCUUGACAUGUACGGAAGGCUUUAGAGAUAGAGCUGUGCCUUCGGGAACCGUAACAC